UCAAAUAUAUUGGGUUUAUUUAGAGUGAUUAUUUAGAGUUGCAAGAAAGUUAAUAAAGUGUGGAAGACGAAAACGGAGGAGGUUAUGUUGGAGGAUUUCGGGUUUCGACAAAAAUUGCAAUGGAAAAGUAACAGGGUUGUGAUUAACCAUUAUAAGGCGAAGUCGGGGGUUGAUCAGUUGGAGAAUCGGUUGAGCCGGAGUAAGAGGAAGUGAUUACUGAAGAGGAUUUGCUAGAGUUGUUGGAGAAGCUUAGAGAAGAACAUCACUAUUGCCUCUUUUGUGGAUGUCAGUAUGAAUCCAUGGACUGCCCUGGACUAAACGAAGAUGACCAUUGAAGUGAUUUCUUGACAGCGUUGAGGGGCUAAUCCAUGGACUGGGCAAUUAUGGUUGUGACUGCAAAUUCUUGUCUCGCGUCUCUUUAUGCUGGUGGUGAAACAGAAAGCAUGGAUGACGCGUGAUGGUGUCUAUGGUGAUAUGGUUGACAUUAUUGUGGCUAGACUGGAUUGGGUGCCGGAAUGCAGUCCAUGUAGGCAUAUAAGUAUAAAACCCCUCGUCGGAUGUUGCCAUUGUUGAUAAUUUAGUAGUGAGUUGGCUAUUGAUGCAUACUCAUUGUGUUGCUUGUAAAAUAGGAAUUGCUGAAUUGUGCCUAUUAAUGUUGUAAACUGAUACCACUUUUAACUUGUGAUACAGAAUUACAAACCAGAGUUACUAAUAUAUUGAAAAAAACUGUGUUGAGAAAAUUUCAAUAUAUGAGUUGUUCUACUA